CGCUCUCAAAGCCAUUUGAUUUUGCUGCGUCUGACAUGCCUAUAAUCAGGAAGUGGUGGUGCUAUCAGUUAAUUCAGACAUUUCCUCUGACAAGUCAAGUCCAACAACUAGUCACCCAGGAACAAGAACUACCAAAUCCAGAAGACAUGGAAGUCACUCCACCUGAGUCAGAAAUCAUGGAGAUCACCCCAACACCAGGAAUCUAUGUAUGUAGAGGGAAUGUUUAUGUAUUGCUUGACUUGGUUAUGUAUUUAACUUUCCUGUUUCAUAAAGGUGUUUAUGAGCAGCACUUAUUAAUUACAUUAUUAUUGGAAUUCUUAUAUUGCACACAGGACUCAGCGGUGAUGAAAAACAUUCAGCUGGCCUGUAAGUGGGUGGAGGAGAACCAACACCACUUUGCUGGGAAGAUUGAACUGCCAAAGAUCUUAAGGAUGAAGGAGGAUGAUGCCUUGUUGGGAUAUCAUAGUGGCAUGUAAACACACUGAGCUGUGAUUGGUCGGUUCACGUUCAUCAGUGUUUGCUCACCUGUCCACUUUGGUAUCCAGAGCCUCGUCUUCAGCUGGAGUCAUGUGACCUGACGCUCCGUCUUCCUCCAUCGGCACACACAGGGAUUCUGAGAAGAGAAGACACACACACGCUCACUUGCACAUUAACCUGCUAACGACUGGAUAACCCACACGUUAAUGCGGUGGCCAGAAAUUAAAGAGGGGUGCACAGAUAGUAAGCUUUCACAUUGCCUGCUAAGUCUAGUAAUUUACAUAAUCAUAUAGCAUACGCUUUUAUCCAAAGCAACUUCAAAAGUGAGGAAACUAUUCUAAUAAGGAGAAAAUGAUAUGACAAGUUUACAUAGAUACAAAAUUUAAAAAGGUGUUAGAAACACAGUGUGAGUAAUGUUCUUAUCAAGUAUUUACGUAAUACAGUGGGAUAUGGAAUUGUACAUGCUAUUUGUUGACAAUAAAGCCUUAUUUAAUAUAUAAAAAUCAAUCAUAAUCAUGACAAAUAUUAGAGUAAAAUAAGCCAAUAUUAUCUAUGCCAGCAUCUUGCGAAUCAAAAAAAAAAGUCGCAGGGGAAGUCGUGGCCUAAUGGUUAGAGAGUCUCGUAACCCAAAGGUUGUGGGUUCGAGUCUCGUACCGGCAGGGAUUGUAGGUGGGAGGAGUGAAUGUACAGCGCUCUCUUCCACCUUCAAUACCACGACUGAGGUGCCCUCGAGCAAGGCACCGAACCCCCAACUGCUCCCCGGGCGCCGCAGCAUAAAUGGCUGCCCACUGCUCCGGGUGUGUGUUCACGGUGUGUGUGUGUUCACUGCUGUGUGUGUGCACUUUGGAUGGGAUAAAUGCAGAGCACUAAUUCCGAGUAUGGGUCACCAUACUUGGCCACAUGUCACGUCACUUCACUUCAAAACAAGCAUUUACUUCCAUUACGGUUGAACUGGCAAUAACAUUAACAGCCACAUGGUGGCGC
rnacentral:lncRNA from 1 species